rnacentral:rRNA from 1 species
CCUACGGGGGGCUGCAGUGAGGAAUAUUGGUCAAUGGGCGCAAGCCUGAACCAGCCAUCCCGCGUGAAGGAAGAAGGCGCUAUGCGUCGUAAACUUCUUUUCCAGGGAGUGAAUUUUCCGGUCGUGACCGGAAUUGACGGUACCCUGGGAAUAAGCAUCGGCUAACUCCGUGCCAGCAGCCGCGGUAAUACGGAGGAUGCGAGCGUUAUCCGGAUUUAUUGGGUUUAAAGGGUACGUAGGCGGAAGAGUAGAAAACCUGCAGCUUAACUGUAGACUUGCCGUUGAUACUGUUUGUCUUGAGUAUGGUCAAGGUAGGCGGAAUGUGUAAUGUAGCGGUGAAAUGCUUAGAUAUUACACAGAACACCGAUUGCGAAGGCAGCUUGCUGGGCCAUUACUGACGCUGAUGCACGAAAGCGUGGGGAUCGAACAGGAUUAGAUACCCCUGUAGUC